UACAAUAACCAGAGUAUAUAGACAGCCACAAUUAGCAGAUGUUAUAACAACAAAUGUUUCCUAUGAUGUGGAGACAGUUAUAUCAUUAAACCAGAAAGUGCUGUAAUACAGCCCUGUUAUACCUGCUUAACUAAAGUGAGUUUACUCUAAAGGACAUCAAUUCAUCUUUUAUAAGUUUUUUUUAAUUUUAAUAAAUUGUUAGAUUUAGAAUUGGUAGGGUUGCUGCAUGAUGAGCAGGAUCUGCUUUAAGCCUCUCAGUACCUGAGAUUCAUACCUGCCAACUGUCACUAUUUACUGGGAAUUUCCCCCAUGGAGGCUUCAAAAUUGAAAUUUGGAAAGAGCAAUUUUGUCUACAAUUUCAAACAAAACAAUUAAUUUUACAAUGACUUUAGGCUUGUAAAAGUAUGAAGAAGCCAAAAAACAACAUUAAAAUGUAUUUGAAGGCCCCCUUGAAAGUUUUUUUUAUGGACAUCCAUCUUGCAUGCACAACCCCCAUGGGCAUUUUAAAAAGUUGGCAGGUAUGGAGAUUACCCUCAGUUUUGGGUUGGGUUUGUGUUGCUGAUUCUUUGGUUUAUAUGGUGAUUCAUGUACUGUUGUUGUGUUGUUUGUCUUUAACUUAUUUGGCCAUGAUGGUGUCAGUUUAUUUUUGACUUGAGCUUGAAUGUCCCCUUGAAUCCCUCCCUUCUCUUUUAAAUAAUUAUCUUAAUUGUUGGUAAUAAAUGAAAGGGUAUAAAGUGAAUACAUAAAUGAGAGAGCAACACAACAGCAAUAAUUAAGAGAUUGCUACCAUACUAUCUCCAACAAGAGACCAUGCUGAUCUCUAAACAUCCCCAAGACAAAUGAAAUUGGGAAUAAGACAAGAAAUGUCUAAAUUCUGGAUCUCAAAUUUAAGGUUAAACUUUGGAAUGUCUUAAUUUUUUUUCUGUAGAUAACUGACUAUGGACAGGCAGAAAACUAUGUGACUGUCACUGACACAGCCUUUCCAGCUGAGUACUCUCACUGACACAGCCUUUCUGGCUGAGUACUGUCACUGACACAGCCUUUCUGGCUGAGAACUGUCACUGACAUAGCCUUUCCGGCUGAGUACUCUCACUGACACAGCCUUUCUGGCUGAGAACUGUCACUGACACAGCCUUUCCGGCUGAGUACUCUCACUGACACAACCUUUCCGGCUGAGUACUCUCACUGACACAGCCUUUCCGGCUGAGUACUCUCACUAACACAGCCUUUCCGGCUGAGUACUCUCACUAACACAGCCUUUCCGGCUGAGUACUCUCACUGACACAGCCUUUCCGGCUGAGUACUCUCACUGACAGCCUUUCCGGCUGAGUACUCUCACUGACAGCCUUCCCGGCUGAGUACUCUCACUGACACAGCCUUUCUGGCUGAGUACUCUCACUGACACAGCCUUUCCACCUGAGUACUCUCACUGACACAGCCUUUCAGGCUGAGUACUCCCACUGACACAGCCUUUCCAACUGAGUACUCUCACUGACACAGCCUUUCCGGCUGAGUACUCUCACUGACAGCCUUUCCGGCUGAGUACUCUCACUGACACAGCCUUUCCAGCUGAGUACUCUCACUGACACAGCCUUUCCGACUGAGUACUCUCACUGACACAGCCUUUCCGGCUGAGUAAUCUCACUGACACAGCCUUUCCGGCUGAGUACUCUCACUCAUCCCCUUUUCAUUUUUACCCCAAAAUUGUAUUACAAAAAUACUAGUGAAUCAAUAAGAACAGAUCAGAUUUUUUUAAGUGGGGGUAAGGGCAAUCAUAGGCGGAUCCAAGGGGGGGGGCCUGGGGGGCCCGGGCCCCCCCUUUCGUGGGAAAAAUUUGGUUGAUUAUAUAGGGAAUCAUUGAAGCAUGACUGGAGCGGGCCCCCCUUAGGUCAGUCAGCGGGCCCCCUUAGGAAAAGUUCUGGAUCCGCCACUGGCAAUGCCAGCUUAACUAUGGAUCCAACAAUGAUAUGAUAUGGUGUUGUCUCCUCUAUGUUCUGUUCAAAUGAAUCUAUCUUCUGUACAAUCUUGCUUCAUGUUUUUUCACAAGUUAAGAAUCUUAUGUUGGCAAUUGCCUCCCCCAUUUUUUAAGAAUUUUUGAUAUUUUUAGAAGUACAUAUUCUUUGAUAUUUUGAAUUAUUUUCCCUUUUAUGUUGUGACCAUUUGUUAUAAACAAUAGUUUAUAUAUGCUGGCUGUCUAUUCUUUGUUUCCUGUUUUUUUCAUUGUAAACUAUUCACUAUGAACCAAGUAUACCAGGGCUGUACAGAUGUAUCUAAAUAAUUAUAUUGAACAUGCUAGAAUGGAUUGAAAAUGAUUUAUUGCUGCAAAUGUAAUUAUAAAAGAUUUGUUUAUAAUUACAGUUACGUAACAUGGAGGUUCCCUGCAGGGUUGACAUUACAAUUAUGACUGUAUAGCUGUAGGAAGCAAAUGAUGAACAAUCUUUGAUGUUAGACAAAGGAUUUGAGGUAUCAGGAAAAACGGUGAAAAAAGUUAAUCUUUUUAAAUAACAUGUUAAGUUUCAUUGCUUUAGGCGUUAAAAUUGAAAUUUUGAAAUACAAAAAUUCCAGUAUGAUAUGAUAGAAAGGUCUAGGAAUAUCUCACAGAACAGCUAACAGCAAAGAGUGAAAAAGUGUAUGCGUCAAGAAAACAGAGUUUUAGUUGAUUAAAGAGGGAUAAUGUUUUAUAAAGUUCUUGUACAAUACAAUGGCACUGUAUUUGUUAUUACAUGAUAAAAGAAUAAUGAAAACAAUUGAAUAAUAAAUGAUUCAAAUGAAA
rnacentral:lncRNA from 1 species